rnacentral:rRNA from 1 species
AUGAACGCUGGCGGCGUGCCUCAUACAUGCAAGUCGAGCGAACAGACGAGGAGCUUGCUCCUCUGACGUUAGCGGCGGACGGGUGAGUAACACGUGGAUAACCUACCUAUAAGACUGGGAUAACUUCGGGAAACCGGAGCUAAUACCGGAUAAUAUAUUGAACCGCAUGGUUCAAUAGUGAAAGACGGUUUUGCUGUCACUUAUAGAUGGAUCCGCGCCGCAUUAGCUAGUUGGUAAGGUAACGGCUUACCAAGGCAACGAUGCGUAGCCGACCCGAGAGGGUGAUCGGCCACACUGGAACUGAGACACGGUCCAGACUCCUACGGGAGGCAGCAGUAGGGAAUCUUCCGCAAUGGGCGAAAGCCUGACGGAGCAACGCCGCGUGAGUGAUGAAGGUCUUCGGAUCGUAAAACUCUGUUAUUAGGGAAGAACAAAUGUGUAAGUAACUAUGCACGUCUUGACGGUACCUAAUCAGAAAGCCACGGCUAACUACGUG